rnacentral:rRNA from 1 species
GACGAACGCUGGCGGCGUGCCUAAUACAUGCAAGUAGAACGCACAGUUUAUACCGUAGCUUGCUACACCAUAAACUGUGAGUUGCGAACGGGUGAGUAACGCGUAGGUAACCUGCCUGGUAGCGGGGGAUAACUAUUGGAAACGAUAGCUAAUACCGCAUAAUAUUGAUUAUUGCAUGAUAAUUGAUUGAAAGAUGCUAUUGCAUCACUACCAGAUGGACCUGCGUUGUAUUAGCUAGUAGGUGAGGUAACGGCUCACCUAGGCGACGAUACAUAGCCGACCGGAGAGGGUGAUCGGCCACACUGGGACUGAGACACGGCCCAGACUCCUACGGGAGGCAGCAGUAGGGAAUCGGCGGCAAUGGACGAAAGACUGACCAAGAAGCGCCGCGGGAGGGACGAAGGUUUUCGGAUCGGGAAGCUCGGUUGUAAGAGAGGAACGGGUGUGAGAGUGGAAAGUUCACACUGUGACGGUAUCUUACAAAAAAGGGACGGCUAACUACGUG